CCCGUAUAAGACUAAAAUGGUUUGGGUUCUAUAAUUUGUAGGAAUAAUUUUUAAUCAUUUUAUCCCCAGAAGCGGGCCCUGUUACUAUGGGUAAGUUAACAGGUUACGGGACUUAUGACGUGACUGAAAAAAACAUCCAAGGUGACAGUUGAAAGUGCCAUAAUCCGUUCAACUACGAAUGCUGCAAUCACUGAAAAAACAGCUAAAGUCAUAGUUCAGAGUCCUAUUAUCAGUGCAACUGGUAGUAUUAAUAGUCGUGCAGACCACCGGAACCCAAACUCUUCAAAAGAGCCUUUGCCCAAGUUACCUUCCGUUAAAAAAGUGGGCCUUGUUCCUAGGAGUAUGUUAACAGGUGACAGGACUUGUGACGUGACUGAAAAAACAUCCAAGGUGACAGUUGAAAGUGCCGCAAUACGUGCAACUGCGAAUGUUGCAAUCACUGAAAAUAUAGCUAAAGUCAUAGUUCAGAAUACAAUUAUCAGUGCAAUUACAAGUGUUGCAAGCCGUGCAGUCAACAGGAGCCCUAACACAUCACAAGAUCCUUCGCCUUCCGUUCGAAGUCCAAAAUCGGGCCCUCUUCCUAGAUGUAUGUUAACAGGUAACGGGACUUGUGACAUAACUGAAAAAACAUCCAAGGUGACCGUUGAAAAUUCUAUAAUCCGAGCAAUUGCGAAUGUUGCAAUCCCUGAAAAACAGCUCAAGUCAUAGUUCAGAAUCUUAUUAUCAGUGCAGCUGGAAGUGUUACGAGUCUUUCAGACCACCGGAGCCCUAAUACAUCACAAGAGCCUCCGCCCAAGUUAUCUUCUGUUUGGGCAAAACAGCCUUCGCUGUCACUGCCCAUUCAAGGACAUCCAGCAGAAUUUAUCACAGCAAUGACAAGUUUUUCCAUUAAAUGGAAUAUUUUUUAUACAAUGGUGGCCCUCUUCUCUUCAUCACUUUCAUUUGUCAACAGUGAUACUCUGCACUUUUCCUCCACACAAUCAUGACAAGUGACAGAUACUGCUGCACACAAUGGCAAGGGAAAAAUUAAUGGAAGGUUUACAUUUUAAAUACAAUUUAUAAAUUGGAGUAGCCUUCAUUUAUUUGGUUCAUAAAAUGUUUACCUUGGUUCAACACAACAACUGUGC